rnacentral:lncRNA from 1 species
AUGCCAAUGUGUUUGUUUUUAAAUCACCUCAUUAUCAAAAGAUCCCCUUUUACCUGCACAACUCAGAGCAUCAAGCCCCCCAAACCAUUUUACUUUUUUCAAAAAGUAAGCAUCCAAGUCUGUCCACCCAGGGAAGCCCAAUCCUGGGGGUGCAGUCACUCCUGCUUCCCUCCCGGGGUACCUCGGUCCAGGGCAGGGCGAGAGAGCUGGAUUUGGGGGCCCACGCGGGGCGCAGGAAGCGGCGGUCCAGAGCCCCAGCUCCGCCGGCUGGUCCCCUGCGGGGCGUCGCUAAUGUUUAACCUCCGGCAGCCCGCGGCAUCCACAGCUCGGACGGCGAGGGCGCUCCCCACCCGCACCCCUCCCGAGCCGAAUUCCUGCCAUAGUUUUCCCACGCAGCCCCGCUCUCCUGGGGGCCGCCGGAGCCGGCGGAGCCGGCAGAGGUCCGGAGGUGCGGGCUCCCCAGCUCGGCCCCGGCCCCGGCCCCGCCUCCCGGCUCGCUCCACCGCCCCGACCUCCCGGGGGCCGUUCCCGGAACGCUCGCCGCCGCGCUGGCCGGGGAUGCUCCCCCAGCGUCGUGGAGCCCGGACGCCCUCCCCGGCAGGCACCGAACCGGCCGCCCACCCCCGUGCAGCCGACCUGGGGGCCCGCGGGCGACAGAGCCUUCCGCACCAGCAGCCGGAGGCCACCGGGUCUCCGACGCCUCGCGCUCUCGAGACAGCCUCCCCACCCCACCCAGACAGGGGUGGAGCUUCUCCCAUCCCCCUCCCCCCGGGACGAGCUAUUUUUAGGUUGUUACGGAGAAGGGAAGGAGGGAAUGCCACGUUUAAUCCGUUGCGAAAAUCCAGGAUCCAAGAGAAUGGCUCCCAGGCCUUACUGAGAGGGCGGCCGCGUGGAGCCCAGGGAGGCUGGACGUGCUCCGGUCUACACAGCCAGCCACCCACACACACACACCACCACCACCAACAACAACAACAACAACAGCAACAAAGGCUGUUCUGCUGA